AACCUAGCACACCUGCGGUGUGUACCUGCGGAGGGAUCAUUACCGAGUUAGGGUCUUUUGGCCCGACCUCCAACCCUUUGUUUAUUAUACCAUGUUGCUUUGGUGGGCCUGCCUUUCGGGGCUGCCGGGGGCAUCACUGCCCCUGACUCGUGCCUGCCAGGAGCCUUCUUAAAUUCAGUGUUCAACGGUGCUGUCUGAGUCCCAGUAUCAAAAUAUCAAAAACUUUCAGCAAUGGAUCUC
rnacentral:misc_RNA from 1 species